AGAGAGAGAGAGAGGAGAGAGGGAGAGAGAGAGAGAGAGAGAGAGAGAGAGAGAGAGAGAGAGAGAGAGAGAGAGAGAGAGAGAGAGAGAGAGAGAGAGAGAGAGAGAGAGAGAGAGAGAGAGAGAGAGAGAGAGAGAGAGAGAGAGAGAGAGAGAGAGAGAGAGAGAGAGAGAGAGAGAGAGAGAGAGAGAGAGAGAGAGAAGUAGGAGACGACAGGAUGACAGAUUAUCCCUUGGGGCACCCAUAAACUGAGAGGGCUAAAAAAAAAAAAAAUAAAAAAAAAAUAAAUAAAAAUGCCUCACCCUAUAUCCCUGAUGGGGAAGGAAAUGGAUUAGGGCUUUGGAGGAGGAGAAUGUGGGACGAUUAUUGGCCAUGAAAGAUUUGAAGGCACCAUUGGUAAAAGUAGUGGGAACCACUAAGUGUCAGAUAAAGAUGAUGUAAAUUGUUACAACCGGGCCGACAAAAGACUACAAACAUGGCCGCCGCUCACAAACUUACCGGCUACAGCGCCAUCUUCUGGUUGGAUGCCGUCAUGACCGAGGGUAUGCAGGCCCCUCAGCAAAUGUUACCCACUUAAGGUGAACCCCAAGGAACAAAGGGGAAUGAAAAGGUGGAGAGUUGAAAAUGAACAAGAAAAAGAAGGCAUGUGGACAUUAUAUUAUGAACUAUUGUGGUGGAAGUCAUUCUUCUUAAAGUCAAGCAGAAUUGAAGGAGGUGGUGGGAUUGUCAUUUAUUUCCAACCCCCGAUUCAGCAAACAGUUGGUCUCUGCGGUCAAUGUCAAUGAACAAAGCCCCUGGUUGAAAAGACUGAAAUAAGUGAUGAACUGACACAAAAUUAAAAACCAAGGAGCUGUUGGCACAGAGUCCCCAUCUCGACUUGCCAAUCCAUUCUGUGAAAGCAGAGAACUGGGAUCUUGUAAAAUCAUGGAAGGAAGAAAAGCUGCAACCAAAGUGGACUGGACCCUACCUUGUGUUAUUAAUCACCGAGACAGCAGUACGAACAAAAGAAAAAGGGUGGACACACGCAAACCGAUUUAAGGGUCCUGUGGAGGCCCCACCGGACAAUAUCAGCCCGUAGACUGUGCGUGAAGGGAAGGAACCAUUGACUUUGUGCCUAUUCGGAUGUUGUAUUAUUCCCUGCGCUGGCCUUCAGAACACAGUAUGACUAGCGAGAGGAGGAUAGGGAGGCGAAGAAUCUGCUGCUAGCACUAGAAAAGGAAGAUAUAGUAUAAUUCAAAAGAUGCGUAGCAAAAAGAAAAAUGGUGGAUUGUGAGAGAAGGGUUAAUAGGGAUGGUUAAAUUAUACUAGAACUCUGAAAAAUAUAACUUAGAAAGAAAUGAGCUUAUCCGCAGAAGCCAGACUGCUGGUGGAAUAAAGUAACAAUAUACAGAACAGAGAGAAAUUCUAGAUAAAAAGUAGCAAACAGAUAACAACUUCAGCAGAAGGCCUUGGGAGUCUUGACGUCAGGAAAUGGUCCGAGACAUUCCUGGACUUUCUCGUGGGAAUGUGGGCUUUAUGUUAUGAUUGGACGAAACUCGAUGGGGAGACCUGAGGUAGUGACCACAGUGAAGAAGGGUAUAAAGAUAGAAAGCAUCUCCAUUUUCUUUGUGCCUCCAGGGGACAUCAGAGGAGAGACACCUAUUCUGCAGAAUAUGAAAUUAAUAAAAACACUUCUUUGUCUGAA